rnacentral:misc_RNA from 1 species
UUUCCGUAGGUGAACCUGCGGAAGGAUCAUUACUGAGUUUACGCUCUAUAACCCUUUGUGAACAUACCUAUAACUGUUGCUUCGGCGGGUAGGGUCUCCGCGACCCUCCCGGCCUCCCGCCUCCGGGCGGGUCGGCGCCCGCCGGAGGAUAACCAAACUCUGAUUUAACGACGUUUCUUCUGAGUGGUACAAGCAAAUAAUCAAAACUUUUAACAACGGAUCUCUUGGUUCUGGCAUCGAUGAAGAACGCAGC